rnacentral:rRNA from 1 species
CAUUCUUAACAGCUAGCCUAAAAUAUCUAAAACAACAAACAACAUUAAUAACCCC